CCGGGCAACCCCCGGGCAUUUGCACUUUUUUUUUCUUUAAGUUGACAAUUCCCGGGGGUCGGGCAGAAAAAGCGUGGCAAUGCCCCGCCCCCGGGCAAAAAAUAAGAUGACAAAUGCCCGGCCCCAGCGCACACCGACUCAUUUAUAGAAUAUAUUUUAGAUCUCAAAACUUCCAUAACAUUAUUAGCUUCCUCGUAUAAAAGCUACAGCAGUCAUCCCAACUUUUGAACAUGAAAAACGUGCUCGAUCGGUUCAGUGGUUAAUAUACAAUCACGUAGCAAGAUAUAAAACAAGGAUUGUACGAUGAAUUCAGGUGUUUUUAUGCUAGAUAGUUAAACACAACUUUAAUUAGUUCUCAUGUGCGAUUGGUGUGACGUUUUGUGAAUGAAAAUAUCGACAAAAUCCUCGUUUUUACGCCCGAAUUCUUCGACGCCAUUUUAAUAUAAUAGCACGUGUUCGUCGCAGAAACGUCCGGUUGAGUCAAAUUCCCGGCCGGUAAACAAUUCCCCGCCCCCGGGACAACUUUGCAAGUACCAAUGCCCGGCCCCCGGGCAAAAAAAGAGUGCAAAUGCCCGGGGGUUGCCCG